rnacentral:rRNA from 1 species
GACGAACGCUGGCGGCGUGCUUAACACAUGCAAGUCGAACGGAAAAGCUCCUGCUUGCAGGGGUACUCGAGUGGCGAACGGGUGAGUAACACGUGGGUGAUCUGCCUUGUACUCUGGGAUAAGCUUGGGAAACUGGGUCUAAUACCGGAUAAUAACUGCCUUUAGUGUGGUGGUUGGAAAGUUUUUUCGGUGCAAGAUGAGCUCGCGGCCUAUCAGCUUGUUGGUGGGGUAAUGGCCUACCAAGGCGUCGACGGGUAGCCGGCCUGAGAGGGUGUACGGCCACAUUGGGACUGAGAUACGGCCCAGACUCCUACGGGAGGCAGCAGUGGGGAAUAUUGCACAAUGGGCGGAAGCCUGAUGCAGCGACGCCGCGUGGGGGAUGACGGCCUUCGGGUUGUAAACUCCUUUCGACAGGGACGAAGCUUUUUGUGACGGUACCUGUAUAAGAAGCACCGGCUAACUACGUG